rnacentral:rRNA from 2 species
UUUAUGGAGAGUUUGAUCCUGGCUCAGGAUGAACGCUGGCGGCGUGCCUAAUACAUGCAAGUCGAGCGAACGGACGAGAAGCUUGCUUCUCUGAUGUUAGCGGCGGACGGGUGAGUAACACGUGGAUAACCUACCUAUAAGACUGGGAUAACUUCGGGAAACCGGAGCUAAUACCGGAUAAUAUUUUGAACCGCAUGGUUCAAAAGUGAAAGACGGUCUUGCUGUCACUUAUAGAUGGAUCCGCGCUGCAUUAGCUAGUUGGUAAGGUAACGGCUUACCAAGGCAACGAUGCAUAGCCGACCUGAGAGGGUGAUCGGCCACACUGGAACUGAGACACGGUCCAGACUCCUACGGGAGGCAGCAGUAGGGAAUCUUCCGCAAUGGGCGAAAGCCUGACGGAGCAACGCCGCGUGAGUGAUGAAGGUCUUCGGAUCGUAAAACUCUGUUAUUAGGGAAGAACAUAUGUGUAAGUAACUGUGCACAUCUUGACGGUACCUAAUCAGAAAGCCACGGCUAACUACGUGCCAGCAGCCGCGGUAAUACGUAGGUGGCAAGCGUUAUCCGGAAUUAUUGGGCGUAAAGCGCGCGUAGGCGGUUUUUUAAGUCUGAUGUGAAAGCCCACGGCUCAACCGUGGAGGGUCAUUGGAAACUGGAAAACUUGAGUGCAGAAGAGGAAAGUGGAAUUCCAUGUGUAGCGGUGAAAUGCGCAGAGAUAUGGAGGAACACCAGUGGCGAAGGCGACUUUCUGGUCUGUAACUGACGCUGAUGUGCGAAAGCGUGGGGAUCAAACAGGAUUAGAUACCCUGGUAGUCCACGCCGUAAACGAUGAGUGCUAAGUGUUAGGGGGUUUCCGCCCCUUAGUGCUGCAGCUAACGCAUUAAGCACUCCGCCUGGGGAGUACGACCGCAAGGUUGAAACUCAAAGGAAUUGACGGGGACCCGCACAAGC